GGCGACGGCGGCGGUGGCUCUAGAAGGGGAGGCGGAGUAUCUCCUUUCCUCUUCUCAGACCCGGGAGCGUCCCGGACGCGGAGCCCGGAGCUGGGGCGACGAGGCGAUUGCGGGGGCCUGGGCUAGAAUCUCCCUGGAAACGGAGACAUGAAUGUCUGCAAUGAUACUUCCUGACAAGAAGUUGAUACAAGAAAAGGAAAGGAGAUUAACAGCUAGCCAGCAGAAUUUCGAACAACAGGAUUUCGUAUUUUUUGCUUCCAACUACACACUUCCGUUGCCCACUUUUAAAUCAGAGAUACCUACACUCAAAACCCAGACAAGGCAAAAGGAUACUUUUCUUGUAUAUUUUUUGAGAUCAAAGAAACGACAAUGUCCAGGAAACAGAACCAGAAGGAUUCAUCAGGAUUCAUUUUUGAUUUACAGUCCAAUACUGUACUGGCCCAGGGAGGAGCUUUUGAGAACAUGAAAGAGAAGAUAAAUGCGGUACGUGCAAUAGUUCCUAAUAAGAGCAACAAUGAAAUCAUCCUGGUUUUGCAGCACUUUGAUAACUGUGUGGACAAAACAGUACAAGCAUUCAUGGAAGGUAGUGCCAGUGAAGUACUCAAAGAAUGGACAGUAACAGGCAAGAAAAAGGUAAAAUGAAUUACAUUUAAAAGCAUGAUGAUGUGUAUAUUAUUUUUAAAAAUUUAGGCCCUGCAAAAAUAUCUGAAAGAAAAAGUUUACAUACAUAUCUUCUGUUUACCUGGUUAAAAAACAUCUUUGGCCGGGUACAGUGGCUCACACCUGUAAUCCCAGCACUUUGGGAGGCCAAGGCAGGUGGAUCACUUGAGGUCAGGGGUUCAAGACCAGCCUGGCCAACAUGGUGAAGCCCCGUCUCUACUAAAAAAUAGAAAAAAUUAGCCAGGUGUGGUGGCACGUGCCUGUAAUCCCGGUUACUCAGGAGGGUGAGGCAGGAGAAUAACUUGAACCCAGGAGGCAGAGGUUGCAGUGAGCCGAGAUUGGGCCACUGCAUUCCAACCUGGGUGACAGAGUGAGACUCGAUCUCAAAAAAAAAAAAAA
rnacentral:sRNA from 1 species